CAUAACCAUGCUCCCCUGAUGUCCACCCAUGAUCUACAUCCACAGCGAGAACUCCAUGCCCGACCAUGUUGUCUGGUCCCUGUUCAACACCUACUUCAUGAACUCCUGCUGCCUGGGCUUCAUAGCACUGGUCUACUCUGUGAAGUCUAGGGACAGGAAAAUGGUUGGCGACCUGACCAGGGCCCAGGCCUACACCUCCACCGCCAAGUGCCUGAACAUCUGGGACCUGACUGUGCACAUCAUCAUGACCAUUCUGCUCAUCAUCAUCCUAGUGUUGAUCUUUCAUGUCUAUCAAUAGAUCAGGAGGCAUCAUCUAGGCCAGGAGCUCUGCCCAUGAUCUGAAUCCCACGUACUCCACCUUCCAUUCCUCGCCCUGCCCCCAAAGCCAAGUCCUGUAUCAGCCCUUUAUCCUCACACACUUUUCUACAAUGGCAUUCAAUAAAGUGCUCGUGUUUCUGGUU